GUGCCAGCAGCCGCGGUAAUACGUAGGUGGCAAGCGUUAUCCGGAAUUAUUGGGCGUAAAGCGCGCGUAGGCGGUUUUUUAAGUCUGAUGUGAAAGCCCACGGCUCAACCGUGGAGGGUCAUUGGAAACUGUAAAACUUGAGUGCAGAAGAGUGAAAGUGGAAUUCCAUGUGUAGCGGUGAAAUGCGCAGAGAUAUGGAGGAACACCAGUGGCGAAGGCGACUUUCUGGUCUGUAACUGACGCUGAUGUGCGAAAGCGUGGGGAUCAAACAGGAUUAG
rnacentral:rRNA from 1 species